GAUUAAGCCAUGCAUGUGUAAGUAUAAAUAGUUAACUUUGAAACUGCGAAUGGCUCAUUAUAUCAGUUAUAGUUUAUUUGAUGAAGAAUACUAAUUGGAUAACCGUAGUAAUUCUAGAGCUAAUACAUGUAUAAAGUCUUGUAGACUGCAUUUAUUAGAAUGAAAACCAUAGGUUUCGGCCUAUUCGUGAGUAAUAAUAACUAAUCAUAUCGUAUGCUUAGGUAACGAUGUGUCUUUCAAGUUUCUGCCCUAUCAGCUUUCGAUGGUAGUGUAUUGGACUACCAUG
rnacentral:rRNA from 2 species